rnacentral:tRNA from 1 species
AGAGAGUUGGCAGAGUGGUCGAAUGCGGCGGUCUUGAAAACCGUUGUGGGGUAACCCACCGGGGGUUCGAAUCCCUCACUCUCUGCAA